AUCUCCGGCUGAUCUAUUCCCCUCUCCCUCACAGUGUCUCUCUCUCUCUCUCUGAUUGUAAUACUCAUUCAGAGAGAUACGUCCGUCAUAUCCAGUCCCCAUACAUGGGCGCAUUUGACGGCCCAGGACGAGAAAGAGUGCCGACUAAGUUGGACUCAUUUUAGAAAGAGCAGAACAAAAGUGACAAAUCUGAGGAUUUUGGCAAAAAAAAAAAAAAAAAGAGUUGUUGAAAUACUCUGUAUACCACGUGAGGCCGCUUCACUGACUGUCCAUGAGAUUCAAAUGUGACACAAGGCAGAAACCCCAUAUUGAAUAUUGUGUGGAGAAAAAAUGCAAAGAUUCUCAGUGGCUCAUUCAGCGCCACAGGGUGGAUAUAAUUAUUGGAUAUCACACCGCUCCCGACGUGUCUAAAAAUGCAAUUGGAUCCACAGACAUGAGGAUUGUGCUGAGACAUGAUUGCUCCACAUGUCCAUCUGUCUGAAGAUGUGGGAGGGUGGUUUGCAAGCCAAGUCUGGACAUGCACAUAACGACACGCUAUCAAAGUGUCCAUCAGGCAAAUAUGCGUUUGUGCGUCUUCAUUUUCCUUGGCUGUUCUCCCAAGAGUAACUUUUUAGAGGGCACGGACAAACACCAUAAAAUUUAUGAGGCGUUGCUGAGGUAGAUGUUUUAAAGUGUUGGAUUUUCCAGAUGCAUGAUGCCUCUUGCCUUAAAGUUAAAUUACCUGCGUGGCCACGAGGAAACUGAUGAAAGUCAGGUGUUUAAUUAUUUGAUCAAAAUGAGUAGAUUAGGUUUAGCAUUGAACUUCACAAACUAGCGAGGGUUGAUUAAAGACACUUCUUUUGUGUGGAGGAGAGAGGACCCAAACGCAAGAGCAGAGAGUGCAGGGAACGAGCUCCAGGGCGAGGGUAGAGCACUCCAGACAGCAGGCCGCCCACGUCAAACCGGAGGCUGGGUGGAACAGAGGUUUGGACUCGGGCCACACCGUAAGGCGCGAACCGUACCGGACACGACAAGGCCGGAGAAACAAGACUACAGAAGCACUAAAGGUCACAGCUGUCUGCGAUGCAGCAGAGACUAUCGAACGUGAGGGAAGAGAACCAAACAACGAUGAUUUGUCAUUCCGGGUGACUUCCUUACAAAAUGCAAUGCUUCUGUUGUCUAGAUGACUAAUAAGGCAGUUUUAAAAUAAAAAUAGAAACUCCAAUGAUACAACAUUGUCUUGUGAAAUGAAAUAAAUAAUCAACCCUGACCUGCGGCGUUGUUGUAUUCCAGCAUUCUAUGUCUGCCAAUUAUUCAUUUACUCUAUCCACAUGAAAAGGUUUUUCAUGUUUUAGAUUAAUCAAAAUGAAUGCAGAAAACUUUCUUCAAUGAUGAUGAACCCGAAAAGUGAUAUUUUCAUAAAUAAAUUGCUUGAAA
ensembl:lncRNA